GGGGAAUAUUGGGCAAUGGGGGAAACCCUGACCCAGCAACGCCGCGUGAGUGAAGAAGGCCUUCGGGUUGUAAAGCUCUGUCGCAGGGGACGAAGAAAGUGACGGUACCCUGUGAGGAAGCCCCGGCUAACUACGUGCCAGCAGCCGCGGUAAUACGUAGGGGGCGAGCGUUGUCCGGAAUUACUGGGCGUAAAGGGUGCGUAGGCGGCUUGUUAAGUUGGAUGUGAAAUACCCGGGCUCAACCUGGGGGGUGCAUUCGAUACUGGCAGGCUAGAGUGCAGGAGAGGGAAGCGGAAUUCCUAGUGUAGCGGUGAAAUGCUUAGAUAUCACGAAGAACUCCAAUUGCGAAGGCAGCUCACUGGAGUGUAACUGACGCUGAUGCUCGAAAGUGUGGGUAUCAAACA
rnacentral:rRNA from 1 species